GAAAUCCCGAAACUCAAUUUUGGGUCUGUGUAACCGGUUACGCUAAUUAGGGUAACCGGUUACCCAAUUUUUUUUUAUUUUUUUUUAGAAAUAAUGAAUGUAUGCAUGUGCAGUAGGGUCAUGGAUCAAAUGAAAAUUGUAUCGGGGUAGGGACAAAAUUGGGGUAUGACAGCUGCCCCUAUUUAAUUACCUUGAACCAGAAGGUGUAAACGACAACAGUCUUUGUACAUUCGUGGUGGAAGAUAAUUAAAUACAAAAAAAGACCCGAAUUUU
rnacentral:lncRNA from 1 species